CCUGAGCUGGCUCCCCUGCAG
rnacentral:miRNA from 1 species